rnacentral:tRNA from 1 species
AGGUGAGUGGCUCAGUUGGUAAAGGCAUGGAGCUAACAAUGCCAGGGUCGUGGGUUUGAUUCCCACUUGGCCAA